CCUGCCUUUCCCAACUGCUCUCCAACAGCCAGAACUUCUGUGGCCUUAAACUACACUAAGCCUGCAGACUCACAGUGCAACAUACCCUCUGGUGAGGAAUACACACCAAGUUGUUGGCUGACAGCCUAGAUUUGAGGUAUGUGCAAAGGAAGACAAUAAUGACAGGUCUAGAAACAUCUAAUGCACAUAAACACAGCAGACACAGUCAGGAGUAUCCAUGAGACCUAAAGUAGUCCAAUGAGAUUGGGAUCUGAAAUGUGAAAUGACAAAGAAAUUCUUAUUGUGGCACAGCAAAGGAGGCAGAAUUAAUAUCCCAGAGCAGCAUGUGGCAAUGACAACACUCAGUGCUCCAUUCUGAAGGUGUCAGCAGUGUGAGCUGCAGGGGGGUUGUACCUGGUGACAAUGGAAGCUGUGUGCUCACCCAAGCAUGGAGUUCUGCAUGUGAUUUGUGCCAUUUUCCCUGAAAACGCAAUCUCUGAUCCU
rnacentral:lncRNA from 1 species